UUCUAUGACAGUUAGGAGGCCAUUCUGCCCACAGCACAUGGGAGCUUGUGGUGAGUUACCCAUGAUACAAUCCAGUCGGUAAAGAUGCAUCUCUGAGACACCCAGGAUGUUUCGCGCAAUUAUCGGCUGCUACGUUCAUUCUCAAGAAAGGAAGAAGAGGCACUACCCGUCGGUUUACCAGGGAGGAAGAUAAGGUGAGCUCUACGCCCAACGUGGGGCUCAAACUCAGGACUGCGAGAUCAAGGGUCGCACGCUCUACCAACUGAGCCUGCCAGUUGUCUUCAUUUUAACGAAGCCCUGAAGACACUCUCAUGGCCAAUGCUACCACUCAGACUGAGACCCCACCCCCAGGAACAUCAAAGCAUCCAAAGGAUUGAGAAGAUUAUGCCCUAAAGCCUCCUGGAAUGACUGAAAUGUGCCUCAUUACCAGCCCAAGGAAGAUGAAUGACACAGGUCAGAGUUAACUGAGUGCUUCUUGACAAAGACACAAUGCAGCACGCAACAAGGCUCAUUUAACACCCCAUCGGGAAGCCUUACAAGU